rnacentral:tRNA from 1 species
UGCCCCCAUAGCUCAAAGGACAGAGCAGAUGCCUUCUAAGCAUAAGGUUGCAGGUUCGAGUCCUGCUGGGGGUAU